GCAAGGUUAAAACUCAAAUGAAUUGACGGGGGCCCGCACAAGCGGUGGAGCAUGUGGUUUAAUUCGAUGCAACGCGAAGAACCUUACCUGGUCUUGACAUCCACAGAACUUUCCAGAGAUGGAUUGGUGCCUUCGGGAACUGUGAGACAGGUGCUGCAUGGCUGUCGUCAGCUCGUGUUGUGAAAUGUUGGGUUAAGUCCCGCAACGAGCGCAACCCUUAUCCUUUGUUGCCAGCGGUUAGGCCGGGAACUCAAAGGAGACUGCCAGUGAUAAACUGGAGGAAGGUGGGGAUGACGUCAAGUCAUCAUGGCCCUUACGACCAGGGCUACACACGUGCUACAAUGGCAUAUA
rnacentral:rRNA from 1 species